rnacentral:rRNA from 1 species
GACGAACGCUGGCGGCGUGCUUAACACAUGCAAGUCGAACGGAAAGACCCUGCUGUUGUGGGGUUCUCGAGUGGCGAACGGGUGAGUAACACGUGAGUAACCUGCCCUUGACUUUGGGAUAACAUCAGGAAACUGGGGCUAAUACCGGAUAGGAGCUCCUGCUGCAUGGUGGGGGUGGGAAAGUUUCGGCGGGUGGGGAUGGACUCGCGGCUUAUCAGCUUGUUGGUGGGGUAGUGGCUUACCAAGGCUUUGACUGGUAGCCGGCCUGAGAGGGUGACCGGCCACAUUGCGACUGCGAUACGGCCCAGAGUCCUACGUUGGGCAGCAGGCGGGAGUAUUGCACAAUGGGCCGAAGCCUGAUGCAGCAACGCCGCGUGCGUGAUGACGGCCUUCGGGUUGUGAACCGCUUUCGCCUGUGACGAAGCGUGAGUGACGGUAAUGGGUAAAGAAGCACCGGCUAACUACGUG